UAUUCCCCUUAUUUUUAAUUC
ensembl:piRNA 21ur-11184 ncRNA